UACGGAGGGUGCGAGCGUUGUCCGGAAUCACUGGGCGUAAAGGGCGCGUAGGUGGCCUGUGGAAGUUUGCGGUGAAAGCCCGGCGCUCAACGCCGGGUCGGCCGUGGAUACUCUCGGGCUCGAGCUUACUAGAGGCAGAUGGAAUUCCGGGUGUAGCGGUGGAAUGCGUAGAGAUCCGGAAGAACACCGGUGGCGAAGGCGGUCUGCUGGGGUAAUGCUGACACUGAUGCGCGACAGCGUGGGGAGCAAACAGG
rnacentral:rRNA from 1 species